GAAUUCUGCAAAGAGAAUGCCCAGUACUCCUCUCCAAUUUCAGGGGCAGGCUUUCAUGGAAACUUCCAGGUCUAGAUGAUGGACAAUGCUUGGUUCUUGCCAGAAGCACCUUCAUGUGCAAAGAAGGCACUUCCUAAAGGAGGCAGGAACUCAAAGCAAAGACUGGAGAGGAUUGGGGGUGGAAAGCAGAGAGACAUUAAGUUUGUGAAAAGGAAGAUGGAAAAUCUUUGAGAGAAGAGGAUGGAGAGCUGCUGGAAGCCGUGAUAAGUCAAGAAAAGUGGAAGCCAAAUCAAACCAAACCAAACACUGAGGAGUAACAAGAAGCAGAAACUCCUUUUCUGGGGUCCCCUGAAGUGUGAAUCUUGGCUGUAAUUAUGCAGUUGGCAGGGCUCACCUUAUGGAUCCUUUCUCUGGGGUAUCACAGUUUUGCAUUUGCAAUUCUAUCAAGACUGGAAGUUGAAGUCUGCUUAAGUUAAUAAAACCUCAGUUUCUUGAAGUGUAGAAAAGCGGGUGAUAUGUACAUCAAGUCACAGAAGAGGAAGUAAAAGUGACCAGUAAGCAUAUGAAAAUUGGCUCCACUCUUCCCUCAUCAGGAAUACUGAAAUCAAAACUAGGAGAUCGCAUGUUCCAUAAUGUGCCGUGCCAAAUGCUGAAAACUUGGACAACUCCGAAGAGAAGAAAACACUGGAAACGUCAACGGUCCCACGUUCCAAAGGGAACCAUGGUUUACAGCACUUCAAACAGCCUGAUUGGAUUUGGCAUGCAAGAGGAACCUAUUUGCUAUUCCUGCUUUAAAGAAACACGCCAAGAGCCUGCCAACACAGAACAUAUUUAAUCAUCUUUGCACGAGUGUGUGUUG